ACUAUUGGAAACGAUAGCUAAUACCGCAUAACAAUGGAUGACACAUGUCAUUUAUUUGAAAGGAGCAAUUGCUCCACUACAAGAUGGACCUGCGUUGUAUUAGCUAGUAGGUGAGGUAAUGGCUCACCUAGGCGACGAUACAUAGCCGACCUGAGAGGGUGAUCGGCCACACUGGGACUGAGACACGGCCAGACUCCUACGGGAGGCAGCAUG
rnacentral:rRNA from 1 species